UACGUAGGGGGCAAGCGUUGUCCGGAUUUAUUGGGCGUAAAGCGCGUGUAGGCGGCCAGAUAGGUCUGCUGUGAAAACUCGAGGCUCAACCUCGAGCUGUCGGCGGAAACCAUCUGGCUAGAGUCCGGAAGAGGAGAGUGGAAUUCCUGGUGUGAGCGGUGAAAUGCGCAGAUAUCAGGAAGAACACCUAUGGCGAAGGCAGCUCUCUGGGACGGUACUGACGCUGAGACGCGAAAGCGUGGGGAGCGAACAGG
rnacentral:rRNA from 1 species